GAUGAACGCUGGCGGCGUGCCUAAUACAUGCCAGUCGAGCGAACAGACGAGGAGCUUGCUCCUCUUACGUUAGCGGCGGACGGGUGAGUAACACGUGGAUAACCUACCUAUAAGACUGGGAUAACUUCGGGAAACCGGAGCUAAUACCGGAUAAUAUAUUGAACCGCAUGGUUCAAUAGUGAAAAACGGUUUUGCUGUCCCUUAUAGAUGGAUCCGCGCCGCAUUAGCUAGUUGGUAAGGUAACGGCUUACCAAGGCAACGAUGCGUAGCCGACCUGAGAGGGUGAUCGGCCACACUGGAACUGAGACACGGUCCAGACUCCUACGGGAGGCAGCAGUAGGGAAUCUUCCGCAAUGGGCGAAAGCCUGACGGAGCAACGCCGCGUGAGUGAUGAAGGUCUUCGGAUCGUAAAACUCUGUUAUUAGGGAAGAACAAAUGUGUAAGUAACUAUGCACGUCUUGACGGUACCUAAUCAGAAAGCCACGGCUAACUACGUG
rnacentral:rRNA from 1 species